rnacentral:rRNA from 1 species
UACGUAGGGUGCAAGCGUUGUCCGGAAUUAUUGGGCGUAAAGAGCUCGUAGGCGGUCUGUCGCGUCUGGUGUGAAAAUCCAGGGCUUAACCCUGGACCUGCAUCGGGUACGGGCAGACUAGAGUGCGGUAGGGAGAUCGGAAUUCCUGGUGUAGCGGUGAAAUGCGCAGAUAUCAGGAGGAACACCGGUGGCGAAGGCGGGUCUCUGGGCCGUAACUGACGCUGAGGAGCGAAAGCGUGGGAGCGAACAGG